rnacentral:rRNA from 1 species
AGUGAACGCUGGCGGUAGGCCUAACACAUGCAAGUCGAACGGCAGCACAGUAAGAGCCUGCUCUUACGGGUGGCGAGUGGCGGACGGGUGAGGAAUACAUCGGAAUCUACUUUUUCGUGGGGGAUAACGUAGGGAAACUUACGCUAAUACCGCAUACGACCUACGGGUGAAAGCAGGGGAUCUUCGGACCUUGCGCGAUUGAAUGAGCCGAUGUCGGAUUAGCUAGUUGGCGGGGUAAAGGCCCACCAAGGCGACGAUCCGUAGCUGGUCUGAGAGGAUGAUCAGCCACACUGGAACUGAGACACGGUCCAGACUCCUACGGGAGGCAGCAGUGGGGAAUAUUGGACAAUGGGCGCAAGCCUGAUCCAGCCAUACCGCGUGGGUGAAGAAGGCCUUCGGGUUGUAAAGCCCUUUUGUUGGGAAAGAAAAGCAGCAGGUUAAUACCCCGCUGUUCUGACGGUACCAAAAGAAUAAGCACCGGCUAACUUCGUG